GACCAUAGUACGAUUCCAGCACGCCCUUGCCGUCCUCGUCACGCUCUUCUUACGACCUGACUACGUUCAUACUACGACCAUUAUUCUCAUUGUCAUUGUCACAUGACAUAUAUUAUAUAUCUCUAUGUUUUGUUUGUCUGUAUGUAGUUCUUGUCCAUUUUCUCUAACGGCUCAACCAUGCUUCUCGUUUAUAUAGAUUAGACCGUUGGUUUUCCCGUUUGAAUGGUUUUACAUUAG
rnacentral:lncRNA from 1 species